rnacentral:tRNA from 1 species
UGCCGAAACUCGGGAUCGAACCAGGGACCCUAUGUCUUCAGUCUAACGCUCUCCCUACUGAGUUAUUUCGGC